rnacentral:rRNA from 1 species
AUUGAACGCUGGCGGCAGGCCUAACACAUGCAAGUCGAGCGAGCGGCGGACGGGUGAGUAAUGUCUGGGAAACUGCCUGAUGGCGGGGGAUAACUCCUGGAAACGGUGGCUAAUACCGCAUACCAUCAGAUGUGCCCAGAUGGGAUUAGCUAGUGGGUGGGGUAACGGCUCACCUAGGCGACGAUCCCUAGCUGGUCUGAGAGGUUGACCAGCCACACUGGAACUGAGACACGGUCCAGACUCCUACGGGAGGCAGCAUUGGGGAAUAUUGCACAAUGGGCGCAAGGCUGAUGCAGCCAUGCCGCGUGUGUGAAGAAGGCCUUCGGGUUGUAAAGCACUUGCAGCGGGGAGGCGUUACCCUCAGAAGAAGCACCGGCUAACUCCGUGCCAGCAGCCGCGGUAAUAC